GUGCAUUCUUAUAAACCCCCCAGUUGCUGAUCGUAGCUUCUGGGACAAGGAAGGAUGCAAUAACAAACCUUGAAAUAUCCAAAACGAAGGGUCUUGUUCAAGUGGCUCUUUGCCAAUUUGUUUCUUGGACAAUC